GUAAAGACAAUGAUGAGGAAUAGUAAAUUUGUGGUUCUUUUUAGAGAGCUAGCGGUUGGUGGGAGCUAGUAGGAGAGCAAAUUGAACUCGCCUUCUGAGUCUGCCCGCGUGAAAUAGCGCGUGCCGUUCAUUCCGCGUUAAGGAAGCAAGAGCCGAGUGUAAUCACUAAUGUGGGUGGUACCGCGGGAGAUACGAAUUCUCUCGUCCCUUUC
rnacentral:ncRNA from 1 species